GGGGAAUUUUCCGCAAUGGGUGCAAGUUUGACGGAGCAAUACCGCGUGAGGGAAGAAGGCUUUUGGGUUGUAAACCUCUUUUCUCAGGGAAGAAGCAAUGACGGUACCUGAGGAAUCAGCAUCGGCUAACUCCGUGCCAGCAGCCGCGGUAAUACGGAGGAUGCAAGCGUUAUCCGGAAUUAUUGGGCGUAAAGCGUCCGCAGGUGGCUAGUCAAGUCUGCGGUCAAAGACAGAAGCUAAACUUCUGGAAGGCCGUGGAAACGGGCAAGCUAGAGUACGGUAGGGGUAGAGGGAAUUCCCAGUGUAGCGGUGAAAUGCGUAGAGAUUGGGAAGAACAUCAGUGGCGAAAGCGCUCUACUGGGCCUGUACUGACACUGAGGGACGAAAGCUAGGGGAGCGAAAGGGAUUAGAUACCCCUGUAGUC
rnacentral:rRNA from 1 species